UUCACCCCUGAAAUUUCAUAAUGAACUAUUCCAACCUUUGAAUUGGAAGAGUUCAAAUGUGUCUUUAAGGGUGAAUGAGAUAAAGGAAACAUUCAAUUUGUGGCCACUUGCGUAAUUGAUGAACACUGGCAUACAGUGAGGUUGUUGGUUGUUACACCUUUGGAGUAAUAUGGUAUAAGAAUGGGUUGGUGACAUGUGAGGAAAAAUAUGGUAAUAGAAAAAAGCAUGACCAGAAGUGAAGAAAACACAUUGGCGACUUAAUAAGAGAAAUAUGGUAACACCAGGUUCAGGAGACAUGGGGGAAAAUAUGGUAACAGAAUACGAUAACAGAAUGGGGUGAGGAGACAUGAUAAAUACGGCAACAGAAUACGAUAACAGAAUGGGUACGAUAACAGAAUGGGGUAAAUUAACAGAAUGGGGUGAGGAGACAUGAUCAAUACGGCAACAGAAUACGAUAACAGAAUGGGGUACGAUAACAGAAUGGGGUACGAUAACAGAAUGGGG